ACACGACUCUCGGCAACGGAUAUCUCGGCUCUCGCAUCGAUGAAGAACGUAGCGAAAUGCGAUACCUGGUGUGAAUUGCAGAAUCCCGCGAACCAUCGAGUCUUUGAACGCAAGUUGCGCCCGAGACCAUUCGGUCGAGGGCACGCCUGUCUGGGCGUCACGC
rnacentral:rRNA from 1 species